rnacentral:rRNA from 1 species
AUUGAACGCUGGCGGCAUGCCUUACACAUGCAAGUCGAACGGCAGCACGGGAGCAAUCCUGGUGGCGAGUGGCGAACGGGUGAGUAAUAUAUCGGAACGUGCCCAGUCGUGGGGAUAACGUAGUGAAAGCUACGCUAAUACCGCAUACGAUCUAUGGAUGAAAGCGGGGGAUCGCAAGACCUCGCGCGAUUGGAGCGGCCGAUAUCAGAUUAGGUAGUUGGUGAGGUAAAGGCUCACCAAGCCGACGAUCUGUAGCUGGUCUGAGAGGACGACCAGCCACACUGGGACUGAGACACGGCCCAGACUCCUACGGGAGGCAGCAGUGGGGAAUUUUGGACAAUGGGCGCAAGCCUGAUCCAGCAAUGCCGCGUGCAGGAUGAAGGCC